GGCCAGAAGCGGCUGUAAAAUGCAAAGUCAAAAUACAAAAGAGGGUCACUUUUUUAACCAUUCUAUUGGACUCAUCAAAGUGUGGGAACGAUCAUGCUCUCUAGUUUUUCGGAUCCAUAGGAUCUUCAUAAACUCCAAUGGGUAGGUAAGCUAACGGUUCUUCAUUUUUUUCAUCAUCUAGAGGGGGCAUAGAAAGAGUGAGUUCCAUAUGUUUAGUAAGAAAAAUAGUAUUUAAAUAACAUUGUAAUGUUUUAAAGGUGAAUUAUUC
rnacentral:lncRNA from 1 species